UCCCCCUUUGUCAUUAUCAAAACAGAAAAAAAAACAUACAAGCAUGAUAGGACAGGGGUAUAUAUAUAGUAGGGAUUACUUCUUGGAGCAUAAGUUCAGGUAUAUAUCAUGUAUGACAAGCAAUAAUCGAUUUGAUAUAGAAGUAGUAAAUUUGGUUUUUAUAAAAAUGCGGGCUCAGAUAAUCGAUUAUUUGCUGCUAUAAUCGAUUAUUAUGUAGAAAAAUUUCAAAGAACAUCAUACAACAAAGCAGCACCAAAAGUAUGUUAUAAUCAACCAAGAUCAUAAAGUUAGCAAUAUUCUAAAGGCAAUGUCAAGAAAUAAGUGCGGAAAAUAACAGAUACAGUAAUCCAGAAAUGCAAAGUUCAAAUUUAAAAGCAAGACAAAGGACACAAGACCCUAGAGGUAGACUCCUAAGACUCGGGAGGCGGGAGGCGGGAGGCGGGGAAUGACUCGACUGAACGCUAGAGAUUCCCAAGCUUCCUAGAUAAGCUUCCAAAUGAGUGAAGCUGGAAUCCAUCUUCUCCUCAAGUCUGCCCACCUUCUGGUCCACGUACUCUUUGAAGUGGCUGGUUUGCACAUCCAGCAUGCCUUGCAUCGGAUUCAUAAGAUCAUCCAUGUUAGGAGGCACAGAUUGCUCAGAUUCUUGCACAUCGGCUGCAACUUCUUCUUCUUCAGCUUCUUCUUGUUGUUGACCCUCCAAGGUGUCCACAACCCAAGUCUAGACACUAUCCUUUCUUGUGAUGUGCAUUUUUUUCAAAGUCAUCUGGUUUUUUAUCAGCACGGUCACACACACACAACUUGACCUCAUUUGUCACAUCGACUCCAGCUUCUUCAAUCAGUUUGGAGACUAGAGCGGGGUAAGGCAACGCACCAGCAUGGUCUCGGAACCUCCGAAUCAUGAAGCAUAGAACGUCAGCCCAAUUUAUUUGCAUAGCUUUCUUCAGCGCGUAGAUGUACCUCAUGUCCUCGUCACAUGGUUGAGCCUUGUUGCACAAGCAAGGCAACAAAAUGUACACCAACACAUAGUGCAACAAACGAUCAUUAAUUUUCAUAAGGCCAGCUUUCAUCUACUUGCCACCAUACUUCUUCCCCGUGCACAUUCACUUCUUGUAAGCAAUAACAGACGAAAAUCUUUCCCAAGCUGUAUCCUCGUCAUCGGCUAUAGCUAAACCAAUGUUCUGAAGACCAGCAACAUCCUCCAAAGUACUCUGAUCAACCACAAUCCUCUUCCCAUUCACUUCGGUCACCCAAGACUCACCACGCUUAACCAAAUUUGCAUAAAACUGAGUAACAAGCUUCGGGUAUACGUUUCCCUUGAGAGUGCAAAACUUUUCCAAGUUUUGUGCAAUGAGCAGUCGGGAGAACUCGAAGCCAUUGUCGAUGAACCAAUUCAGAUCCAAGUACUUGUGAGUCUCAAUCUUUCGUAGUUCAAAUCUGGCAAACCUCUCAGCUUUCUUCUCCUCACUAAAGAAGGGGUUCUUGCUCGACACAGUUGUAGGCUUUUUAGUAGUGGUCUUUAUCCUCUUACCGGGGGUUCCACUCAUAUUGAAGAUUACUAGGAAACAAGGGAAAAACGAAUGGUGGAAAUUAACAUAGAGGCUCUAAGAGUACAAAUUAUAGCAAUUAGGAACAAGAGAACACUUACAAUUUGAAGAUUGAAGACGAAAAACAGAGAGAAGGGUUGGCUCUUAAUCGAUUGCACGUUGCAGAAGUGAAGUGAAAGACCUAGUUAGGGCAACUUAUAGGGUGACAGUUAAUUGAUUACUACUACUUAUUAAUCGAUUACGACACUGCUAGGUUUUCAACAAAGACAGACCACUAAUCGAUUAGACUAAUACAUAAUUGAUUAUAAAAGUUCAGUGGCUAUAGGUUUUUUUCAAUAAUCGAUUAAAUUGCAUUUUAAUCGAUUAUGAAGACUCAACUUCUACAGGUAAUCGAUUACCAAUCGAUUACACCGAAGGGGAUAAUCGAUUAUCGUAAUGAUAAUCGAUUGACUCAGUAGGUUCAAUCAUGCAGCAAAUGGUAAACUUAGCAUUUUAAACACAUAUCAAAAGCAUGCAUAAAUCAUGUAGUAAAUAUUGGAUUUAUAAAAUUAUUAGGAAUGUUUUCUCAACCUUUGAAUGCUGACUAAUUCAUGUUAGUUUAGCUAACUCAUUUUAACAUGUUGAGCAAUUUUGUAUUUGAACCUAUUAGCUAGGUAACUACAUUACUUAAGUAGCCACCUUAUGCUAGUGAGUUCUAAUAUUACGCCUUAGCUUUCCAAAUUCAGUGUGCAUGUUGACGUGGCUUAGUAGAGUCCUUGCUUUUUGAGAUUUAGCUCCAUAUGAUUUUCCUUUUCAUGUUUGAGGAGCCUUCCAUUUUCAGAACCUGCAAGGACAAACACUUUGCACUUCUAGUGCACAGAUUUUGGUACCCAAUUCAUCUUGGGUCCUUGGGGGUUAGUCCUAGGGAUUUUGCCUUUUUCAACCCAUAUAUAGGUUCCCUUUGGCAUCCCUUUCGAUCUAAUCACACAGUUAUGUACCUUAUGGUUUGUCAUAUUAUAAUGAUAGCAUGCAUAAGGAUUUCUUGGUUUAAAAAUAGAUUUAGACUUGUUGUUUUUCUUAACAGGAAUUUCAUAUUCAUGGUCAGAAUGAUAACCAAUUCCUCUUCGUUUGUUAUUGGAAAUUUGCUUUUCUAAUAGCUUGUCUAGAUUAUCAGUUCCUACAUGAAAUU
rnacentral:lncRNA from 1 species